GCCGGUGUGCCAGAGUGGUAAUGGAGCGGUCUCGAAAACCGCGCCCUAUGGGCUCCUAGGUUCGAAUCCUAGCACCGGCG
rnacentral:tRNA from 1 species